GACUAAUGCUGCUCAGAGCGGGUGAAUGUCGAGCGGAGAAAGCUAACAGAGUUAGUGGGUGUGUGAGGAGGAAUGGAGCCAGCGGAGUGGGCAGGGAGGUUUCAUAAGACACAGUGCAGGCCGCAGACCCCAAAUAACAAGGGUGUUAGAAGAGGAGGGCAAACUCGAGGGAGAUGAGAAAACAAAACCAAACAUCACGUCAAAAUCUGAAAGUCACUUGAUUCACCAGGACCUGAAUAUCACCAGCCUUUGAAUAUACCAGCAUCUAUUGUGAUCCCCAGUUGCCUGUGGAGAAGAUGAUGUUUGACCUUCUUGAACCGCUGCAGUCCGUGUGGUGAAGGUGCUCCCACAAUGCUGUUAGAUGCUGCCAGACCUGCUGAGCACUUCCAGCAUUUUUUAUUUUUUUUACAGUGGUUUAGGUGCAGUCUAACCAGGGUUUUGAAAAUCUCAGUGCUUUUCCCACAAACGGAACAGACAAAUCUUUUUCCUUCCACAGUCAAAGUCAUUUAGAUCCUGAUGACUCAAGUGACUCUGUCCGACCUUGAUGUGAUGUUUGGUUUGAGUUUCUCCAUCUGCAAAUCCUUCCCAUUGGAAAUCCUGUAAAAAGAUUAUAAAAAAAUUCCCUGUCAGUCAGGGGUAGAAAUUGAGAAGAGACAAUUAUUUCUCUUGGUUUGAGUUUGCUGUGUGUAAAUCCUCCCCUUCUAACCCUCUGGAAAAGGAGUUUCCAGACACUUGGUGUAAACUGGGCUCUGAGAGUUUCUAAUCCGGGUGUUUGUGAACCCUCCCAGUCCACCCUCCGGCUCCAUUCCUCUCCUGCACUCGGCCCUUUCUCACCCGCUGGACUGUCACCCGACCGCCUUCAUCCUAGUUCCGCACUGGUAGUGCGCAUGCUUCAAUGUAAGACCGGCCACGCCCCUCAUUCACUCCGAUUGGUCAGAGAACCAGCCGCUCACGCUCUAUCCUCAGGCCAGCCCCCUCUUCCUAUUGGUCCGUAGCUGCUGUCAGUCAUUGAGAG